rnacentral:rRNA from 1 species
UACGGGGGGGGCAAGCGUUGUUCGGAAUUACUGGGCGUAAAGGGCUCGUAGGCGGCCAACUAAGUCAUACGUGAAAUCCCCCGGCUUAACCGGGGAACUGCGUCUGAUACUGGAUGGCUUGAGUUCGGGAGAGGGAUGCGGAAUUCCAGGUGUAGCGGUGAAAUGCGUAGAUAUCUGGAGGAACACCGGUGGCGAAGGCGGCAUCCUGGACCGAUACUGACGCUGAGGAGCGAAAGCCAGGGG